AGCUUUGCGCAGUGUCAGUAUCGUAGCCAAUGAGGUUUAGCCAAGGUGCGAUUAUUGCUAAGAGAAAAUGGAGAAAUAUGCCUUGCCUUUUCAG
rnacentral:snRNA from 1 species